UUUUAGAAUGGAAGUAUUUCAUGCUCUCCUCAAUAAUUCUCUGCCACCCUCCUGGGUUUGGGGGUACAACUUCACUGCUCCAGCUCAACUUCAGCUUUGAAGCAGUUUGUGGGCAGAAGGGCGUGUAGUAGACAGCUUAGCUGGACCCUGGGUACCUGGCUGAAGACUUUGGACUUUAACCUGGAGAUGAUGGAGAGUAUGCAGGAUAAAGUCCAUACCAAAUCCAACGCCUAGCAAAUGGAGAACAAGCCAAAACUAACAAGAUAAAAUGUAGCAGGAAAAAGUGCAAAGAGCUGAAGUGUGGAAUAAGUGGGAGAGGUCUGCCAUGCCCUAUCUGACCUUGCUGCCAUGAUCUUUAAGGCUGUGUGUCCUGGUUGGUGCAGCUACAAGAUGGCAGAAAUGCCUAAGUGAUGGUAUGGAACAGAGGAUCCCUCUUCUCACCAUUGUCUUGCAUGUUUCCUUGUGUGAACCACAAAUAAACUUUUGUUAUGUUAAGCUG
rnacentral:lncRNA from 1 species